CGACACUCUGUAUUUCGAUAAACCAAUUAUUCGCUUCGCAUUCCCUUAAGGAGGGAACAAGUUUAAUACGAGUUGUUCGUGCAAAUAAGAAGAUAAAACUACCACGGAAUUAAGUACACGCACAGAGGUGCUCGGAUCUGUGAUUCGCAACCAAUGAAGGGCUUUUGAAUUAUACACGAAGAUGGAGAUCCAGGGUUUUCAAAGUGGCUCAAAUAACGUGUCUGAGCCUCGCCACUGACGCCAGUGAAAUAUUAAUCCGACGUAAAGCAUGUGCUAUUCUAACUUCCUCGACAAAUCGAUCGCCGUGUGUGCAUUUGUACAAACUUGCAUGAUACAAUAAUUCCUUUAUUUUUGGAUCUCUUAUAUUUUAAUGCGAGGCGUUCCAUUUGUACUCGGAACAAAUUAUGUUUAGAAGAAUUACAAUCGUCCUAUUUGUAUGAAAUUAAUUUGUCUUUGUAAACCUUUAAUUUUAUAAUUAUAAAAAUUUUUAAUUAAAAGGUAAUAGAUUCUAAUUAAAAUAUAAAUUAAUAGAUUAAAAGAUGAGAGACUUCAAUAUGAAUACGUCACACUUUUACCAUUAGAAAACACAAGUUUACUACAGGGAUAUUAAAUUUCAAUUUAUUUAUCAUGACUAUAAUUUAAAAUAUUCUUUUUUAUCGUACUAUAUUACGUUGCUAUGACAUGAAUAAAAAAUAUUAAUUUAAUGAAAAGUAUAGCAAAAGUUAUAUUCUUCUCCUCUUCAAAAAUUAUCGAUUAUUAAAAAUGUUAAAUAUAUCGCUGCUAAGAUCAGUUUCGCAUUUUUGUAAUCUAUAGAAAUUGUAAAUAAUAGAGUUCUCAAACAAAUUAACUUUAAAGUAUAAUGUUGUCAC